rnacentral:rRNA from 1 species
CUGGUUGAUCCUGCCAGUAGUCAUACGCUCGUCUCAAAGAUUAAGCCAUGCAUGUCUAAGUAUAACUCUUUUACUUUGAAAACUGCGAACGGCUCAUUAUAUCAGUUAUAGUUUAUUUGAUAGUCCCUUACUACUUGGAUACCCGUAGUAAUUCUAGAGCUAGUACAUGCGUCAAUACCCUUCUGGGGUAGUAUUUAUUAGAUUGAAACCAACCCCUUCGGGGUGAUGUGGUGAUUCAUAAUAAGCUUGCGGAUCGCAUGCCUCUGGCGGCGAUGGAUCGUUCAAGUUUCUGCCCUAUCAGCUUUGGAUGGUAGGGUAUUGGCCUACCAUGGCUUUAACGGGUAACGGGAAAUUAGGGUUUGAUUCCGGAGAGGGAGCCUGAGAGACGGCUACCACAUCAAAGGAAGGCAGCAGGCGCGUAAAUUACCCAAUCCUGACACAGGGAGGUAGUGACAAUAAAUAACAAUGCCGGGCCUUCUUAGGUCUGGCAAUUGGAAUGAGAACAAUUUAAACCCCUUAUCGAGUAUCAAUUGGAGGGCAAGUCUGGUAAU